AUGACCAACUUUUCCCAUAAGUCUUACUGGUUACAUCGGAUGGAGGUUACAUUAGGUGGUGGUUACAUCGCAUGGUGGUUNNNNNNNNNNACAUUGGAUGGAGGUUACAUCAUUACAUCGCGUGGUGGUUACAUUGGGUGGUGGUUACAUCGCGUGGUGGUUACAUUGGAUGGAGGUUACAUCAUUACAUCGCCUGGUGGUUACAUUGGGUGGUGGUUACAUUGGAUGGAGGUUACAUCAUUACAUCGCAUGGUGGUUACAUUGGAUGGAGGUUACAUCAGGUGGUGGUUACAUUGGGUGGUGGUUACAUUGGAUGGAGGUUACAUCAGGUGGUGGUUACAUUGGGUGGUGGUUACAUUGGAUGGAGGUUACAUCGGGUGGUGGUUACAUUGGGUGGUGGUUACAUUGGAUGGAGGUUACAUCAUUACAUCAGGUGGUGGUUACAUUGGAUGGAGGUUACAUCACAUGGUGGUUACAUUGGAUGGUGGUUACAUUGGAUGGAGGUUACAUCAGGUGGUGGUUACAUCAGGUGGUGGUUACAUUGCGUGGUGGUUACAUUGGAUGGAGGUUACAUCAUUACAUCGCAUGGUGGUUACAUUGGAUGGAGGUUACAUCACAUGGUGGUUACAUUGGAUGGUGGUUACAUUGGAUGGAGGUUACAUCGGGUGGAGGGAUGUUACAUGUUUACAGACUGUAAAGCUCCCUGAGGCUUAUUUUGGAUUUUGGGCUGAACAAAAUAAAAUGAAUUGA
ensembl:lncRNA